rnacentral:misc_RNA from 1 species
GGUUUGAUUAUGGCUCAGAUUGAACGCUGGCGGGAUGUCUUUACACAUACAGAAUCGAACGGCAGCACGGACUUCGGUCUGGUGGCGAGUGGCGAACGGGUGAGUAAUGUAUCGGAACGUGCCCUGAAAGUAGCGGGGGAUAACUACGCGAAAGCGUAGCUAAUACCACAUACGCCCUUCGGGGGAAAGCGGGGGACCUUCGGGCCUCGCACUAUUAGAGCGGCCGAUAUCGGAUUGGCUAGUUG